rnacentral:rRNA from 1 species
GAUGAACGCUGGCGGCGUGCUUAACACAUGCAAGUCGAACGGUCAGGGCGGAGCUUGCUCUGCUGGAUCAGUGGCGAACGGGUGAGUAACACGUGAGCAAUCUGUCCCUGACUGUGGGAUAAGCCCUGGAAACGGCGGCUAAUACUGGAUACGAGCUGCUAAGGCAUCUUCAGCAGCUGUAAAGGAGGUCGGUCAUGGAUGGUCUCGCGGCCUAUCAGCUUGUUGGUGAGGUAAUGGCGGACCAAGGGUGCGACGGGUAGCCGGCAUGGGAGGGUGACCGGCGACAAUGGGACUACGACACGGACCAGAAGCGAACGGGCGGCAACGGUCGGGAAUAUUGCACAAUGGGCGAAAGCCUGUGGCAGAGACGCCGCGUGAGGAAAGACGGCCUUCGGGUUGUAAACCUCUUUUAGCAGAGAAGAAGCGAAAGUGACGGUACCUGAAGAAAAAGCGCCGGCUAACUACGUG